CUGACUGUGCGAAGGUAGCAUAAUAAUUUGCCUUUUAAUUAAAGGAUAGAAUGAAUGGCUUGACGAAGAUAUAACUGUCUCAUAUGUAUUUAUUAAAAAUUAAUUUUUAGGUUAAAAAGCCUAAAUAAAAUUAAAAGACGAGAAGACCCUAUUAAGCUUAAAAGAAACUUUUGAUUAUUAUUAUACAUUUAGAUAUAACAUCAAUAGUGAAAUUUUAGUUGGGGCGACUUGGGAGCAAAAAAAACCUCCUUGAUUUAGUUAAAAUUUUGAUUUUUGGUCCAAAGAAUUUUGAGUUAAGAACAAGCUACUAUAGGGAUAACAGCGUAAUUUUAUUUAAGAGUUCUAAUCGAAAAUAAAGUUUGCGACCUCGAUGUUGGAUUAAGAAGUAAUAAGGGUUGUAGAAGCUCUUGUAAUUAGUCUGUUCGACUAUUAAUAUCUUACAUGAUCUGAG
rnacentral:rRNA from 1 species